AUUAUGGCUCAGGAUGAACGCUAGCUACAGGCUUAACACAUGCAAGUCGAGGGGCAGCAUUGGGAUAGCUUGCUAUUCAGAUGGCGACCGGCGCACGGGUGAGUAACGCGUAUCCAACCUUCCUGCCAGUAGGGAACAGCCCGGCGAAAGUCGGAUUAAUGCCCUAUGUUCUUCAAUGCGGACAUCUAAGUUGAAGGAAAGAUUCAUCGCUGGCAGAUGGGGAUGCGUCCGAUUAGCUUGCCGGCGGGUAACGGCCCACCGGGGCGACGAUCGGUAGGGGUUCUGAGAGGAAGGUCCCCCACACUGGUACUGAGACACGGACCAGACUCCUACGGGAGGCAGCAGUGAGGAAUAUUGGUCAAUGGGCGUAAGCCUGAACCAGCCAAGUAGCGUGCAGGAAUGACGGCCCUACGGGUUGUAAACUGCUUUUAUGCGGGGAUAAAGUGCGGCACGUGUGCCGCUUUGCAGGUACCGCAUGAAUAAGGACCGGCUAAUUCCGUGCCAGCAGCCGC
rnacentral:rRNA from 1 species